rnacentral:sRNA from 1 species
UAAAUGUAGGCUUACUCGGUUGGUUUGAGGAUAUGAAGACACCGCCAGCAAUGACGAGAUAAGCAAGCUGAAAUAUCAUCGAACGUAGCAUUCACGUCUUUACCUAUUAGCUCUUCACAAUGUUGGUUCUUAUAAAUAAAAUUAGCACACGAUUGAAUAAUUGGAGCAAAAAAAAUGAUUGGAGAAGAUUAAUACCUUGCAUUUUAGGACCGCGUAGAAGUCACUAGCACACGCUGAAGACGACGAAUCGAUUGAGAGACAAGAAAAUGAAGACGACAACAGGAGAGCAAGUGUUGACGACGAUGACAAGAGAGCAAGUGUUGACGACGGCGACGGUAGAGGACGAAUUAAUGUCGGCCGAUUGAAAGCUUUGUUGACGAUGACAGGAGAGGGACAAGGAAAUGAAUUCGUCGGUAGAAAACUCGCCGGGAUGAUCGCCGAAGGCGAGAUGAUGUUAUCGAUGUUGUGAUUAUUUAAGGAUUUUGACUGCCCAGAUAAAUGAAACUGUAAAAUCGUCGUGGGAGAUUGGGUGAGAAAGAGAGGUUUCUCAUAAAUUGGUUUGGUUUAAAAAUUGAGAUUAUAGAGUUAAACCGAAAUUGGUUUGAGGGCAGAAGGGACAAUUUUUUUGUUGGAAGUGCCUUAUGUUUUGAAAAUGUCGUAUUCCAUACAUAGUUUUUAAAAAGUGUCUUAGAGUGUAAUAUUCUCAAAAAAAAUUAAAGCACCAUGAGCAUUUCACUCCAAGCUGGAACAUUU